ensembl:lncRNA
GACAGACACAUGGAGAUGGCACUGUUUGGAGUUCUUUUCUUCAGUCAGAUCUGUAAAGUUUUCGCAGAGGUGGCAUUCUGGCGUGUAAGUGAGAGCCAGUCUGUGGAGCUGUCCUGUCCGAUCACGGAGCACAGUACCCAGCUGCACUUGUACCACCGUGGCACCCACAGCCAGAGCACCCUGCUGUCCCUAAGCCGAGGUGAUCCUGCCAGGGUGAGCCCCAAACACAGAGGGCGCCUUUGGCUGAAUGGGGGUCUCCAUGGGGGUCUCCAUUCUGCACAAGUCAAUGUCACUUUACUGCAUCUGGAGUCUGGGGACACUGGGCUGUACCUCUGGGAGAUGACAGAGGACAACUCAUCAAAACAUUUCAUCUAUGACCAAAAGAUCUUUUUGUUGGUUGAAUCAACAGAAAAGUUGUGCCCAUGCUCAUCUGUUCAUCCACCUGUAUUGUUCACCAUCUCUGCAGCAACUGUGCUUAUUCUGCUCAUCAUUUGUGGGCUAGGCAUAGCACAUUGUGUCAAGUCCAAUCAGCACCACACAUUUCAGCCUUCUGCUCCCAUCUAUGUGGAAAUGAGCAGGAAGAAGCAGACUGUGUCCCAGAAUAUCGCUGAACGGACUACACACCUGGAGGAAGUGCGGCUUCCUGUGUACGCCAACCCAAAGUACAGACAGCCCCAAGACAAUUACUACGCCUGCCCCAGACAACUGAAAAUAGGAGAUUAAAAGCAACUAACAAGACAACAAUGUUAACAGCCAAGAAAAAUGCUAUUUUAUUAAUAUUUGAAAGAAGCUCCAUAGUUGAUGAAAACAUUUGUUUCGGUGCAUGUCGUAACAAUCACAUUCUAUGAGGAGAAAGAUAUACAGAGAAAAAUAAAACAUUACAAGCCACUGACUUUUCAUUAAAUCUCAGUACAGACAUUUUACUUAUUAUUUCAAAAACAAAAAGGCAAAAAGCAGCCCUAGUCCCAUAUAGCCCACCCUCUAAUAUCCCCACAAAAACAACUGAGAAAAUUACCCUUGAGGGCAACAGGCUAGAAUCCCACAGUGCUAGAGUGAGAUGCUCAUUGGUUUUAGGAAUACACAGCAUGGUGAUGUAGAGCUAGGUCAAUCCGGAUCAGAGGAGGAGGGGCCAGAAGGCAGAGAUCCCUCCAACCCUCACCCUCUCAUUAUUAAAAAAAAACAAAAAAAAAAACAAACAAAAAAACAAACCUCACCCCUGCAAUAGUGGGCCACCUGAAUGUAGCCCAAAUAAGAGUUCCCCUGACCUGUCCCCUACACUUGUGCAUAGUUUCAUGAUCCUUUACAACCAGCUCAGUGCGAACAAUGUUCCACGAAAAGUCUGUUUUCAUUCUUAAGUUGUUUUCAAAAUACACGCUGUGGGAGAGAAAGAGGAAAGAGCAAUGCACAAUAUUCCUGAUUCAGUCAGGACGGGACCUCAGGAAAACACACAAAAAAGAUUCAAACAGCAUUUUGCAUGUUACUCAUGUCUUUUUCUCACAAUCAAAAUUAUUAACUUUUUAACCUAAAGCAAUUUUU